CCGUCAUUACAAUGAAAUGUAUUGAAAAAUGCUCUGAAAAUUAAAGCUGAAUCGAUAUGAUAAUUUCUACCAUCAAUGGCGGGUUCCAAUUGACAAAUAAACCUCUGAGAGGACAUCCAUCAUAUAAAGGACUUAGAAAUAUAACUUUAAAUACCAUCAUUCAUUCAAUAAAAUGAAGAUAGAUCCCUAAUUUAAAUUCCGUUCUCAGUUCCUACUGGCAAUUCUAAUUACACAUUCAAGGGAAAGGCUUUCCGUCUCUGCUGGGAGGCAUAAUAAAUCAUCUUUCAGUUGGUACUGCGACGCCCAGAGCCUCUGUGGCAAAGACGCUGUGCCAAGUUUCAGGGCACUCGCUCACUCACUACGGAAUUUAAUUGCCAUAUAAAUGAAGGACGUUCCCGCAAGGAAGUCUUAGUCCCCAUCGCCUGAACGUAGAACUAAUUGCCGCCGCAGCACUAAGCCCCGACACACACACAAUAUUGAUCGAUGCGGAAAGUCACGAUGCUGCCUUGCCUGUUGCAUGUGACCCACAAAUGUGGUGGACUGUAAAGCGGGGUGCCAAUGGGUAAAGGACUUUUGGAACUGCCAUUCCCUUGACAUUGCCACACGUACGAAUGUCACCGCCAGUCAAUUGAAGCUCAAAACCAAUUUUGGUAGACAGCGAGAGGAGGCCCUCGCUGGCCUCACUCGCUCUCCUGCUCUCUGCAUCGUUUCUCUAACCAAUUGAUGAGAAUUUAUACAAUGGACAAGGCCUAUGAAGGAGUGCCAGGGGCGGUGUUUCGUCAAGAUGUUUGGGAAAUCACUUAAGGAAUGCAGAUAGAAAACAAAAAGGAAGGAAGGACCGAAGUGUAGAUACCCUUUAAAAGGCUCAUCAACCUCUAAAUUCCCAAUUCAUACGUAUCUUCAGACCGAACCCCUUCCCAAAAGCUUGGCAUCGCCCAAAGCCCCUGUGAGACGUUCUUUUAAGCAAUUAAAUAAGCCACAUGCAGCAUCAUCAGCUUUUGGAUAGAUGAUGCUGCAUCAUCAUCAUCAUUUUCCCAUACGAAAAAACCAAACAGCAGCAG
rnacentral:sRNA from 1 species